UGGAGCUUGCUCCAUUUGAUCUAGUGGCGGACGGGUGAGUAACACGUGAGCAACCUACCUUUCAGUGGGGGAUAACGUCUGGAAACGGACGCUAAUACCGCAUAACAUCAUCUGGUGACAUCACCGGGUGAUCAAAGGAGCAAUCCGCUGAGAGAUGGGCUCGCGCCCGAUUAGAUAGUUGGUGAGGUAAUGGCCCACCAAGUCUGCGAUCGGUAGCCGGACUGAGAGGUUGAACGGCCACAUUGGGACUGAGACACGGCCCAGACUCCUACGGGAGGCAGCAGUGGGGAAUAUUGCACAAUGGGGGAAACCCUGAUGCAGCGAUGCCGCGUGAGUGAAGACGGUCUUCGGAUUGUAAAGCUCUGUUGACGGGGACGAUAAUGACGGUACCCGUUUAGAAAGCCACGGCUAACUACGUGCCAGCAGCCGCGGUAAUACGUAGGUGGCGAGCGUUGUCCGGAAUUACUGGGUGUAAAGGGAGCGCAGGCGGGGAGCCAAGUUGGAUGUGAAAUACCGCAGCUUAACUGCGGGGCUGCAUCCAAAACUGGUUCUCUUGAGUGAAGUAGAGGUAGGCGGAAUUCCUAGUGUAGCGGUGAAAUGCGUAGAUAUUAGGAGGAACACCAGUGGCGAAGGCGGCCUACUGGGCUUUAACUGACGCUGAGGCUCGAAAGCGU
rnacentral:rRNA from 1 species